AAAGACUCAAUUCUUGGGUUUCUGUGUCCAACGUUUAACCGUCCGUCUUAUAUGGAAUUUUUUUAUGAUUAGUAAUUUCAUUAUUGCUAGAUAAUAAAACAUGAAUAAUACUUUAUGUAUGACUUAUAUUUUUAAA
rnacentral:pre_miRNA from 1 species